rnacentral:rRNA from 1 species
UACGUAGGGGGCAAGCGUUGUCCGGAAUCAUUGGGCGUAAAGCGCGUGUAGGCGGCUCGGUAAGUCCGCUCUGAAAGUCCAGGGCUCAACCCUGGGAUGCGGGUGGAUACUGCCGGGCUCGAGUCCGGAAGAGGCGAGUGGAAUUCCCGGUGUAGCGGUGAAAUGCGCAGAUAUCAGGAGGAACACCUAUUGCGAAGGCAGCUCGCUGGGACGUUACUGACGCUGAGACGCGAAAGCGUGGGGAGCAAACAGG